AUUGAACGCUGGCGGCAGGCCUAACACAUGCAAGUCGAACGGUAACAGGAAACAGCUUGCUGUUUCGCUGACGAGUGGCGGACGGGUGAGUAAUGUCUGGGAAACUGCCUGAUGGAGGGGGAUAACUACUGGAAACGGUAGCUAAUACCGCAUAACGUCGCAAGACCAAAGAGGGGGACCUUCGGGCCUCUUGCCAUCGGAUGUGCCCAGAUGGGAUUAGCUAGUAGGUGGGGUAACGGCUCACCUAGGCGACGAUCCCUAGCUGGUCUGAGAGGAUGACCAGCCACACUGGAACUGAGACACGGUCCAGACUCCUACGGGAGGCAGCAGUGGGGAAUAUUGCACAAUGGGCGCAAGCCUGAUGCAGCCAUGCCGCGUGUAUGAAGAAGGCCUUCGGGUUGUAAAGUACUUUCAGCGGGGAUGAAGGGAGUAAAGUUAAUACCUUUGCUCAUUGACGUUACCCGCAGAAGAAGCACCGGCUAACUCCG
rnacentral:rRNA from 1 species